rnacentral:rRNA from 1 species
AAUAUUGGUCAAUGGAGGCAAUUCUGAACCAGCCACGCCGCGUGAAGGAAGACGGCCCUAUGGGUUGUAAACUUCUCUUAUACAGGAAUAAAGUGAGUCACGUGUGACCUCUUGUUUGCACAGUAUGAAUAAGGAUCGUCUACCUCCACGCCAGCAGCCGCGGUAAUACGGAAGAUCUAAGCGUUAUCCGGAUUUAUUGGGUUUACAGGGUGCGCAGGCGGAAGAUUAAGUCGGUGGUGAAAUUUUGCAGCUCAACUGUAAAAGUGCCAUCGAUACUGGUUGUCUUGAGUGUGGAUGAAGUAGGCGGAAUUUGUGGUGUAGCGGUGAAAUGCAUAGAUAUCACGAGGAACUCCGAUUGCGCAGGCAGCUUACUAGGCCAUAACUGACGCUCAGGCACGAAGGCGUGGGGAUCAAAC